rnacentral:tRNA from 1 species
UUAGGAUUAUUAAUAAUCUCUUAAUAAAAAAUUGAAAAUUUUUAAAUAUAGGGAUAUCAAUAA